GCAGGGAUAAAUGUUCUGUGUGGCGUAGGAAUCCUGUCGACGCCUUAUGCCAUCAAGCAAGGGGGCUGGCUGGGACUGGUGAUACUAGUUGUGUUUGCUCUGCUCGCAUGGUACACCGGUGUGCUGCUGCGCCGUUGCCUAGACAGCAAGGAGGGCCUUCAGACAUACCCGGAUAUCGGCCAUGCCGCCUUUGGCACCACCGGUCGCAUAGCCAUCUCGCUAAUCCUGUACGUCGAACUGUAUGCGUGCUGCAUUGAGUAUUUGAUACUGGAAAGCGACAACCUUUCAAAGUUGUUCCCGAAUGUGCACCUGAACAUUGGGGGCUUGACAAUAAACUCGCACGUGUUCUUCGCAAUCUUGCCGACGCUUGUUGCCAUGCCGACAACUUGGCUCCGUGACCUUACAUGUCUGAGCUAUAUUUCAGCUGGUGGUGUGGUUGCAUCAAUCCUUGUGGUCAUGUGCCUAUGCUGGAUUGGGGUUGUCGAUCAUGUCGGCUUCGAGAACAAAGGGACCGCGUUAAACCUCCAGGGAAUUCCUAUCGCGAUUGGACUCUACGGUUACUGCUACUCGGGCCAUGGGGUGUUCCCAAACAUAUACUCGUCUCUGAAGAACCGCAACCAGUUUCCAUCCAUUCUUUCCACCUGUCUAAUUUUUCAAGUAACAAAAUUUCAUGCAUACUACACCACGUAU
rnacentral:rRNA from 1 species